rnacentral:lncRNA from 1 species
GAGGAAGGAAUAAACAGUCACAAAACCUGGAAGCUAAAAGAUUCAUAAAUUUGACUACAUAAAAACUCUAAUUUCACAUGGUGAAAAUACUGUAAACAAGAUAAAAUACAAAUAACAAUCUAGGGAUAUAUUUAUGAUCCUAUUGAAGGCAAAAUUAAAAUUGAAUUAAUUACACUUCAUUUUCUUUGUUUUUUCCCUCCCUCCCUCUCUACCUUCUUUCCUUCCUUCCUUUUUCUUUCCUUUUUUGCUAUUCAACAACAUUGUAAAUACAUCAAUUUACUCAAGUAAUUUAUAUGCUUAAUGUCAUGCUAAUCCUUCCUCCCAAAAAAUUGAAAGUUAAAAAAAUUACUUUGGGUAUUAAAAAAUUAUUCUAAAGUUCACCAGAAGAAUAAAGAUGGAAAAAUAGAUUUACAAUAUCCAGAAAUUGGCUAAUAAAUAAAAUUAUGCUUUCUCCUGAAUGUCAAUAAUACAAAAUCAAAUUCCAUGUGAAUUAGUUAAAUCAUUACAAAAAUAAAAGUUUAGAGAAAAAACUAUUUUAUUUUACUACUUUAUGAAUGGAAAAGUACUUCUAAGAAUGGAAGUGGUGUCGGAAAUCACAAAGGG